rnacentral:rRNA from 1 species
AUUGAACGCUGGCGGCAGGCCUAACACAUGCAAGUCGAGCGCGCGGCGGACGGGUGAGAAAUGUCUGGGGAGCUGCGUGAUGGAGGGGGAUAACUACUGGAAACGGUAGCGAAUAUCGCAUACCAUCAGAUGUGCCCACAUGGGAUUAGCUCGUAGGUGGGGUAACGGCUCACCUAGGCGACGAUCCCUAGCUGGUCUGAGAGGAUGACCAGCCACACUGGAACUGAGACACGGUCCAGACUCCUACGGGAGGCAGCAGUGGGGAAUAUUGCACAAUGGGCGCAAGCCUGAUGCAGCCAUGCCGCGUGUGUGAAGAAGGCCUUAGGGUUGUAAAGCACUUUCAGCGGGGAGGCGUUACCCGCAGAAGAAGCACCGGCUAACUCCGUGCCAGCAGCCGCGGUAAUAC